UACGUAGGGUGCAAGCGUUAAUCGGAAUACUGGGCGUAAAGCGUGCGCAGGCGGUUAUGUAAGACAGAUGUGAAAUGCCCGGGCUUAACCUGGGAACUGCAUUUGUGACUGCAUGGCUAGAGUUUGGCAGAGGGGGGUAGAAUUCCACGUGUAGCAGUGAAAUGCGUAGAUAUGUGGAGGAACACCGAUGGCGAAGGCAGCCCCCUGGGUCAAGACUGACGCUCAUGCACGAAAGCGUGGGGAGCAAACGAG
rnacentral:rRNA from 1 species